UACAGGGGGUGCAAACGUUGCUCGGAAUCAUUGGGCGUAAAGGGCUCGUAGGCGGCCAACUAAGUCAGACGUGAAAUCCCUCGGCUUAACCGGGGAACUGCGUCUGAUACUGGAUGGCUUGAGAUUGGGAGAGGGAUGCGGAAUUCCAGGUGUAGCGGUGAAAUGCGUAGAUAUCUGGAGGAACACCGGUGGCGAAGGCGGCAUCCUGGACCAACACUGACGCUGAGGAGCGAAAGCCAGGGGAGCAAACGGG
rnacentral:rRNA from 1 species